GGUUCCAUAACUCAGUUGGUUAGAGUGCGAUGCUAAUAACGUCGAAGUCGAGGGUUCGACCCCCUCUGGAACCA
rnacentral:tRNA from 1 species